rnacentral:rRNA from 1 species
UACGGGGGGUGCAAGCGUUAUUCGGAUUUACUGGGCGUAAAGCGCGCGCAGGCGGUUUUGUAAGUCAGAUGUGAAAGCCCGGGGCUCAACCCCGGAAGUGCACCUGAUACUGCAAGACUUGAGUAUGGGAGAGGGAAGUGGAAUUCCUGGUGUAGAGGUGAAAUUCGUAGAUAUCAGGAGGAACAUCGGUGGCGAAGGCGACUUCCUGGACCAAUACUGACGCUGAGGCGCGAAGGCGUGGGGAGCAAACAGGAUUAGAUACCCUGGUAGUCCACGCAGUAAACGGUGAUCACUAGGUGUAGCGGGUAUUGACCCCUGCUGUGCCGCAGCUAACGCAUUAAGUGAUCCGCCUGGGGAGUACGAUCGCAAGAUUA